rnacentral:rRNA from 1 species
UACGUAGGGUGCGAGCGUUAAUCGGAAUUACUGGGCGUAAAGCGUGCGCAGGCGGCGCCGCAAGUCAGGCGUGAAAUCCCCGAGCUUAACUUGGGAAUGGCGCUUGAAACUACGGUGCUGGAGUGUGGCAGAGGGGGGUGGAAUUCCACGUGUAGCAGUGAAAUGCGUAGAGAUGUGGAGGAACACCGAUGGCGAAGGCAGCCCCCUGGGCUAACACUGACGCUCAUGCACGAAAGCGUGGGGAGCAAACAGG